UGCGAACGCUGGCGGCGUGCUUAACACAUGCAAGUCGAGCGAAGGUGUUUCAAGGGUAACCUUGAGAUACACUUAGCGGCGGACGGGUGAGUAAUACGUGGAUAACUUACCUCUGGGCCUGGGAUAACCCCGGGAAACUGGGGCUAAUACCUGAUAAGACCACAUUGUCUACGGACAAAGGGGUAAAGGUGGCUGUGCAAACAGCUAUCGCC
rnacentral:rRNA from 1 species